rnacentral:rRNA from 1 species
GGGAUUAAUAAAUGGUUGCACAUCACAUGCAGUCGAGCGAGUCCCUUCGGAGGCUAACGGCGGACGGGUGAGUAACACGUAGGCAACCUGCCUCUCAGACUGGGAUAACAUAGGGAAACUUAUGCUAAUACCGGAUAGGUUUUUGGAUCGCAUGAUCUGAAAAGAAAAGAUGGCUUUUCGCUAUCACUGGGAGAUGGGCCUGCGGCGCAUUAGCUAGUUGGUGGGGUAACGGCCUACCAAGGCGACGAUGCGUAGCCGACCUGAGAGGGUGACCGGCCACACUGGGACUGAAACACGGCCCAAACUCCUACGGGAGGCAGCAGUAGGGAAUUUUCCACAAUGGACGAAAGUCUGAUGGAGCAACGCCGCGUGAACGAUGAAGGUCUUCGGAUUGUAAAGUUCUGUUGUCAGGGACGAACACGUACCGUUCGAACAGGGCGGUACCUUGACGGUACCUGACGAGAAAGCCACGGCUAACUACGUGCCAGCAGCCGCGGUAAUACGUAGGUGGCAAGCGUUGUCCGGAUUUAUUGGGCGUAAAGCGCGCGCAGGCGGCUAUGUAAGUCUGGUGUUAAAGCCCGGGGCUCAACCCCGGUUCGCAUCGGAAACUGUGUAGCUUGAGUGCAGAAGAGGAAAGCGGUAUUCCACGUGUAGCGGUGAAAUGCGUAGAGAUGUGGAGGAACACCAGUGGCGAAGGCGGCUUUCUGGUCUGUA